UUGAAAAAAAACCCUGAAAACCUCUCAACUUUCAGCCUCUAAAUCCGGCCUAUGGCGCCGGCGAUCUCGCGCUGUGGCUCCGCCACAUUCCGUCGUAGCACCGCCGUACCGGAGGGCCUAAAGCCAGAAUUUUUUUAGAUGCUUUUUCCUUUUUUUUUUUAAAAAAAUAUUUAACUUAGGCUUAGACUCUCUGUAAACUGAAACGAAAAAGGGAAAAGAAUGGCCUUUCGGCCUUGCUUUUCCGCUUGCGCUCCGAGCGAAGCCCCUGGAGGGUUUUUUGUGGCCUCGACGAACGGAGGAGACCUCCGACAGUAGCACGCGACCCGAUUUCAGGUACGAUCACGCGGAGAUUCGGAGGGCAAGGCUUGGCUUGCGGCGCUGUUAGUCCCUAGGGCUUUUCAUCUGUUUUGGGCCACUGUAUUUGGGCCUCUGUAGUUUAACGAAAAUCGGGUCUGGGUUCGGGCUUAUUUGAUUGUAAAUGGACUGUUUCUUUUGGGGCCAUUUUUUGUGCCCGGGGUAAAAAUCGGGUAUUACACCCACAUGUGUCAAUCUGUAUGAGAAACUAAAUUUGAUUAAAAUAAAAAUAAUAAAAACAAAAAAAAAAAAUCAAAAUUGCAAUGGAAUAAA